GAGUAGGAGGAGUCGAAUGGAAUGCUAAUGUCGUACGUACGACUGUGCUAAGUUUGGUAACAAAAAAUAAAUUCGCGUAAUUACUAAAAUAAAAGAAGAGGAGAAUUCCCGCCGUGUAAACAAAGAAGUCACAUCCUCCACUCCAGUGCUGCACCCGCUCGCUCACUCACACUUGAAUUUUCAAGUUCUUGUCGUUCUUUCCUUCAAAGUCUCAUCUGGUCCGUCCUCAUCUCUGUUUCAACUCAAAUUUCUUUUCUUAUUUAUCAUUAGCUUUUUUAUCCUUCUUUGCCUCCUAUUUGAUCAAAAUUUUGAAGGAAGCCUCUGAAUUCAGUCGAAUCCAGCUAUAAGAGAAGAUCGAUACUUGAUCGGUCAAUUCGAGUUUGGUGAUGAAGAACAGUAGGGAGGUAAAACUGUAGGGAGCAGCGGCGGAGGAACUUGCGGAGCCUAGGGCUACCUUUACUUCCUCUUGUGCCUUUU
rnacentral:lncRNA from 1 species